rnacentral:tRNA from 1 species
UCCGGGGUAGCUCAAUAGGCGGAGCAGGGGAUUGUUAAUCCCAAGGCUGCGGGUUCGAGUCCCGCCCCCGGAGCCA